ACUGAAUCAUCAUCUCUGAUUAGACAGUGAGCUCUGAGCCAGACUCACCGAUGGGGUGAUGCUCCUCUCCCACAUGGACAGCUAUAAGAACAUUGUAGAUAGAGCCAUUUGGACGGUCUGGAAUUGAAGACUUUCAGGUGUUCUGGGGAGGCAGCCAUAUGCUAAAGACCAUCCAUGAGCAAGCAUCUACCCACUAAGAUCCUUUCCAUACAAUCUCAUGCUACUGUUUCCACA